CUCUAAAGUUGCAGUUGUGGGGAACUAACAGAGGUAUUUCAGAUGUUUGGUCAAAAUAGCUGCAAAAAUAAUAAUAAUACAAGUCUACUGCUGUCAAUUUUUGUAUUUUAGGCUGCAUUUCUUAAAUGAACAAAUAAUACAUCAUUGAUGCUAGUUUUAAGACUCAUUAAUUUUCAUUUCCCUGAUAUUUAGCAUGUCAGCACUGAAUAGUCACAAAGUGUGUGGGAUCUUGGGAUUGUGAACUAACUGGCCUUACUGGAAGGUCUUUAUCAAAGAUUGUUUUCUUAUCUUAUCACUCUCAUUGUGAUUAAGCUAAUUGUACUGAUCAUUUGUCACAUGUACUGUUGUGCUAAAUGUGUGCUGACGUUAUCUGUCAUAUAAAUAAAG